CUAGCGACUUCAGAGUUUUGAUCCAGGCUCAGGAUGAACGCUGGCGGCGUGCUUAACACAUGCAAGUCGAACGAAGCAACUUGAGAGCUUGCUCUUAAGUUGACUGAGUGGCGGACGGGUGAGUAACGCGUGGGUAACCUACCUCACACAGGGGGAUAACAGUUGGAAACGACUGCUAAUACCGCAUAAUACCAUAGUGUCGCAUGGCACAAUGGUCAAACUUUUUUGGGUGUGAGAUGGGCCCGCGUCUGAUUAGCUAGUUGGUGGGGUAACGGCCUACCAAGGCGACGAUCAGUAGCCGGCUUGAGAGAGUGAACGGCCACAUUGGGACUGAGACACGGCCCAA
rnacentral:rRNA from 1 species